rnacentral:rRNA from 1 species
GAUGAACGCUGGCGGCGUGCCUAAUACAUGCAAGUCGAGCGAACGGACGAGAAGCUUGCUUCUCUGUGAUUAGCGGCGAACGGGUGAGUAACACGUGGGUAACCUACCUAUAAGACUGGGAUAACUUCGGGAAACCGGAGCUAAUACCGCAUAAUAUUUUGAAACGCAUGGUUCAAAAGUGAAAGACGGUAUUGCUUUACCUAAUAGAUGGAUCGGGUCUGCAUUAGCUAGUGGGUAAGGAAAAGGCUUACAAAGGCAACGAUGCAUAGCCGACUGGGGAGGGUGAUCGGCAACAUUGGAACUAAGCCAGGGCCAAGACCCCACCGGAAGGAGCCAGAAGGGAUCCUUCCGCAAUGGGCGAAAGCCUAACGGAGCAACGCGGCGGGAGGGAUGAAGGUCUCCGGACCUAAAAACUCUGUGAUUGGGGAAGAACUUAUUUGUAAGUAACUGCGCACAUCUUGACGGUAACUAAUCAGAAAGCCACGGCUAACUACGUG